rnacentral:rRNA from 1 species
GGGGGGGGGGGGGGGGGGGGCGGGGGGGGGGGGGGGGGGGGGGGAGGGGAGGGGGUGGCUCCUGGGGCGGUGGCGGCGGAAGGGGGAGUAGCACGUGGGGAACCUUCCUAUACGCCUGGGCGCACUUCGGGAAACCGGAGCUAAUACCAGAUCAUAUCUUAACCCGAAGGUUUCCAUCGUGAAACACGGGUUUGCUGUCCCUUCUCGAUGGCUCCGCUCCGCAUUAGCUAGUUGGUAAGGUAACGGCUUACCAAGGCAACGAUGCGUAGCCGACCUGCGAGGGUGAUCGGCCACACUGGAACUGAGACACGGUCCAGACUCCUACGGGAGGCAGCAGUAGGGAAUCUUCCGCAAUGGGCGAAAGCCUGACGGAGCAACGCCGCGUGAGUGAUGAAGGUCUUCGGAUCGUAAAACUCUGUUAUUAGGGAAGAACAAAUGUGUAAGUAACUAUGCACGUCUUGACGGUACCUAAUGAGAAAGCCACGGCUAACUACGUG